CACGAAGACAGACUUACCCAACAGAGGAGCAAGGAAGCCUGAGUACAGUGUGGUGUCUGUCAUCUAGAUCCAUCCUCCAGCCGGAUAACCUGAAUCUGGAAAAAAGAAAAAAGAAAAACUGACCAUCAGACCAUGGCUUCCAACUCUUGCUUACAAAAUAUGCUCAUAACACAUAUGUGACUUCGCUAGCAUUUACUUUGUGAUACCAAUCCAGAAAUGGAGGCAAGGGAAAGUAAGGAGUAAGCACUCCCAGGCAAAGCUGUGACACAGAAUGAUGCUUCUUUGAACACAACUGUGAUGGUACUGAGUGGUGGCUCAAGUUUAUGCAGUUUGUUCUUGGAAGCUGUAAUGGUGUGUGAUUCUUAGUUUUUUCAGAUUUGGAAAUGCCGCCCACUACAAGGGGGCCUUGGAGAAGGCACUCGCUCACACAAUGCUGCCGACGGAGAAAUCGGCAUAGACUUCCAGGAAAUACAUCACUAUACCUAACAAGAGAUUAAAAUAAAUUCAUACCCUUUCAUUCAAUGGUUUCAGC